rnacentral:rRNA from 1 species
UACGUAGGGUGCGAGCGUUAAUCGGAAUUACUGGGCGUAAAGCGUGCGCAGGCGGCGCGUUAAGACAGGUGUGAAAGCCCCCGAGCUUAACUUGGGAAUUGCGCUUGUGACUGGCGUGCUGGAGUGUGGCAGAGGGAGGUGGAAUUCCACGUGUAGCAGUGAAAUGCGCAGAUAUCAGGAGGAACACCGAUGGCGAAGGCAGGUCUCUGGGCCGAUACUGACGCUGAGGAGCGAAAGCGUGGGAGCGAACAGG